rnacentral:rRNA from 1 species
GUAUCCAACCUGCCCUUUACUCCGGGAUAGUCUCCUGAAAGGGAGUUUAAUACCGGAUGUGUUUGUCUUUCCGCAUGGGAGCGACAAAUAAAGAUUAAUUGGUAAAGGAUGGGGAUGCGUCCCAUUAGCUAGUUGGCGGGGUAACGGCCCACCAAGGCGACGAUGGGUAGGGGUUCUGAGAGGAAGGUCCCCCACAUUGGAACUGAGACACGGUCCAAACUCCUACGGGAGGCAGCAGUGAGGAAUAUUGGUCAAUGGGCGGGAGCCUGAACCAGCCAAGUAGCGUGAAGGACGACGGCCCUACGGGUUGUAAACUUCUUUUAUAAGGGAAUAAAGUGCGUUACGUGUAAUGUUUUGUAUGUACCUUAUGAAUAAGCAUCGGCUAAUUCCGUGCCAGCAGCCGCGGUAAUACGGAAGAUGCGAGCGUUAUCCGGAUUUAUUGGGUUUAAAGGGAGCGUAGGCGGGCUUUUAAGUCAGCGGUCAAAUGUCACGGCUCAACCGUGGCCAGCCGUUGAAACUGCAAGCCUUGAGUCUGCACAGGGCACAUGGAAUUCGUGGUGUAGCGGUGAAAUGCUUAGAUAUCACGAAGAACUCCGAUCGCGAAGGCAUUGUGCCGGGGCAGCACUGACGCUGAGGCUCGAAAGUGCGGGUAUCAAACAGGA